GACGUGUCACGGUACUAUCCCAAAUUCAUUUAUACAGCUAUUUUUGCAAAGGUACUAUUUCUGUACUAAAAAUAUGUAGUACUGGAAAUUUACUUUUAAUAUUUAGUACUAUUUUUUACUUUAAAAUUAUUGUAAUACUUAGGUACUUAUAUUUCAGAGAUCACCCCUAGUUUUUGGUGGGGCUCGUGUUGUUUAUUCUUUAGUUUUCUAUGUUGUUCCAUGUGUACUAUUGUCUUUCUGUUUGUCUUUUUCAUUUUUAGCCAUGGCGUUGUAAGUUUGUUUUAGAUUGAUGAGUUUGACUUCCCUUUGGUAUCUUUCGUCUCUCUUCUUUUACAGUACUUGAUUUGUACUAAAUAUUUUGGUACAGAAAUAAUACAAUAUUCCAUGUUUGAAAAUCAUAAUUUCAAGAGAUUUGAAAUAGGAAAACUUUCAAAAUGCUGAAAAUGUAA
rnacentral:lncRNA from 1 species